CACAUGAAACUUUGAUUAAUCUAUAAAUAAUCUCGCAGACCAUAAGUGAAGUGGUUGUUAAAUAAAUGGCACUGGUAUUUUUAGACUGUCCAAAUUUUAUAUAUCUUGCACUUCUUCCAAAAGAAGAAAAAGGAAAAAAAGGAAAAGAAAAGGAGUUCUUUCAAUGGUAGGAUUGAGGGUAGGUUACCUGUUGCUUAUAAGCAAUGACCUAAACAUAUUUGAGAGAAAAGGAAGAAAAGAAGGGGAACCUUUGCUUGCGAUCCAACAAGAGUACUGUUUUGCCAAACUCCAUUUGUGUGCUUGUUUUUUAGCUUCCAAUUUUUCUCAUCUAUCUAUAGCUAGGUCCCACCCCGUCGUUUGCCCACUCCAUGCAAAGACUACUUAAAGUACAAACAAGGUGCCCUUCUAGCCAAAUUAUACAUCCUCCGGCGCCAAAUGAAACCUAGAAACUUUAUUUUAUUUAUUUUCUUAUAUUGCUAUUUUAUUUUGUUUCUUUCAUACAGCUCGUGAAUAGAAUGAAAUAUGGGGGGAAAAAAAGCAAUAUUGAAUCCCAUUAUUACGGAACUCACCCAUCACUAAACACUACCUUAACUAUUUUUUCUGUAAGAAAAAAGAAAAAGAAAAAGAAAAAAGAAAGCAUGUAUCAUAAACCAACAGGUGAGUGAGUCUUCCCAAAAGAAAUGGCGGAAUAAAAGCUGUCUUGGGCAGG